GACGAACGCUGGCGGCGUGCUUAACACAUGCAAGUCGAACGGAAAGGCCCUGCUUUUGUGGGGUGCUCGAGUGGCGAACGGGUGAGUAACACGUGAGUAACCUGCCCUUGACUUUGGGAUAACUUCAGGAAACUGGGGCUAAUACCGGAUAGGAGCUCCUGCUGCAUGGGGGGGGUUGGAAAGUUUCGGCGGUUGGGGAUUGACUCGCGGCUUAUCAGCUUGUUGGUGGGGUAGUGGCUUACCAAGGCUUUGACGGGUAGCCGGCCUGAGAGGGUGACCGGCCACAUUGGGACUGAGGUACGGCCGAGACUCCUACGGGAGGCAGCAGUGGGGAAUAUUGCACGAUGGGCGGAAGCCUGAUGCAGCAACGCCGCGUGCGGGAUGACGGCCUUCGGGUUGUAAACCGCUUUCGCAUGUGACGAAGCGUGAGUGACGGUAAUGUGUACAGAAGCACCGGCUAACUACGUG
rnacentral:rRNA from 1 species